UACGUAGGGUGCAAGCGUUGUCCGGAAUUAUUGGGCGUAAAGAGCUCGUAGGCGGUUUGUCGCGUCUGCUGUGAAAACCCGAGGCUCAACCUCGGGCCUGCAGUGGGUACGGGCAGACUAGAGUGCGGUAGGGGAGAUUGGAAUUCCUGGUGUAGCGGUGGAAUGCGCAGAUAUCAGGAGGAACACCAAUGGCGAAGGCAGAUCUCUGGGCCGUAACUGACGCUGAGGAGCGAAAGCAUGGGUAGCGAAC
rnacentral:rRNA from 1 species